rnacentral:rRNA from 1 species
AGCCAGGUGCCUUCAUACUUGGUUACUUCUGCUCAAUGGUAAGCUAAAUAGCCGCAGUACCCUGACUGUGCAAAGGUAGCAUAAUCAUUUGGCUUAUAAUUGAAGUCUAGCAUGAAAGAAAUUAUGGGUAGCAACUGUCUUCUACAGAUCUUUAGAAUUUACUAAGUAGGUGAAAAUUCCUAUAGACUAAUAAUAGACGAGAAGACCCUAGAAAUUUUAAUAUAAAAGUAUUCUAUUUGACUUACUAUUUUGUUGGGGCGACAGAAUAACAGUUGAACUUAUUUUAAUUUAUUUGUACUAAUUUUUGAGGAAAACUAAAUUACUCUAGGGAUAACAGCAUAAUUUAUUAAAGUUUGUGACCUCGAUGUUGGACUAGGGUUUUUAAUAAUCAGAAGUUAUUAAAUUAGGCUCUGUUCGAGCUUUAUUCCCU